UACACGCCUGUAGUCCCAACUACUCGGGAGGCUGAGGUGGGAGGAUUGCUUGAACCCAGGAGGCAGAGGCUGCAGUGAACCGAGAUCAUGUCACUGUACUCCAAUCUGGGCGACAGAGCAAGACCCUGUCUCAAAAAAAAAAAAAAAAAAAAAAAAAGUUGGGGGAAGCAUUCCAUGUGCAGAUGGAAGGACUGGCCUGAGUCAAGGUGGGAGGCGUGCAAACGCAGGCUCUCACAGUGCGUGGCCAGCAGCGUGGGCCCCGGCACGGGGCAUGGAGCAGAGUAGACAGUGCUGAGUCCUGCUCACUGUCCUGUCUGGGGAGUCAUCACAUCUACUGGAGGUGGCUCAGGGCAGGCUCUGUCUCUUGCCCAGGGCAGCAGGGUGGGCCCUGUGGCUGUACUCUUUGUUGCUGCCCUAAAGUGCCAAGAGAACUUGUUUUGGAAUCAUAAAUCCUGAGUUUGCAGCCUGUUGCUCUCAACUCUUCCCUGGUUGUGUGACCUCAGGCAAGUCACCCUUUCUGGUUUGUUUUCCCAUCUGCAAAACAGGAUGAGAGCCAGUAAGGCCCCUUCCCGCCCUCAAGUUCUAUGUCUCUGGUGGCUUUAAAGGUGGAGUCGUUUCUGCUGCUCAUCUGCAGUGCCGAGUGGCAGUGCCUCAUCCCACUCUCAGUCCCUGACCUGGAGGGUGGGUUUAUACCUUGGACCACAGUCAGAGGUGCCGGGUUCUCAGCGGCCCCCAUCUUGGUCCAAGGCUGGGCCUCUCACCUGCCCCUCUCUCUCCCCUCAGUGGUGGCUGGACCUCGUGGAAGCCCCUCUGGCUGUGUGGCUAUGGACUCACGCAGAGCACUGUCGGCAUCAUCGGGCUGGGGCGCAUAGGUGAGGCUCCCACCGGCCCGCUUGCCCGCCCCGGCUCUCACAGCGUGGUUUGCAUCCCUGGCACCACGUGUCUGAAGGCUGAGAAGACCCGCAUGCUGUCAGGGCACUUUGCUUACAGUAGAGGUAUUUCUAGUGAGGGAUACCGCUUUGUAAAACACAGGCAAAUACAUAAAUAAACCAAAGCAGGAUUCCUUAAGAACUCACCAGGUGAUAAAAGCAAGUUGCCUAAGGGUCAGGGGGCUUCAUGAUUCCGGCUCCAUAAAGAACAGAUGAAGACUACAAAUGUGUCGGGGCCGUUAGGAGUGGUUACCGUGAGAGAGCCCAUUCCCCCGACACCUACUGCGGCUUGUGUUCUGGAAGGUAUGUGACUCACAAAGCCCUAACUCGGGCCAGAGGGCUCAGUGGGCAGAGUUGAUCUGCAGUUCUGCAGCUGAGGCAGAGACACUUUUCUUCCAGUGGCCCUUAUUUGGAGAAGCCUGGCAGAAGGGCUUGGGCCUAGCCAAGCAGCUAUCUAUUGGUGGUUCUCUGUCAUCCUGCCUGGUGCAGGAGUGCGGGUGAGGGUGGAGAGUGUGGAGAACCUGUCUAGCCAACGAACAGCCCUGCCUCUCACUAGAAAGUUGCUUGGAGGAACCCAACAGCUUUGGGGCACGUUCUGAGCCUGAAAAUCCAACUGUACAAAUCUGUCUCAGCAGCAGCUUACAUGAAAAUUGUAAGUUUGGGGUGAGCUGGCAGUUUGGCAGUGCCACCAAAAAGUCAAAUGGGGUCUGAGACUGCAUUCACAGAAGCAGAGGGUCCAGGACAAAGGAGGGGACUGCUUGACCAGGUGUCUCCUUUGUGAAAACCUCUCCAGUUCUCAGAGGUUAGGAAAAACCUGAGUGGCUUUCCAGAUGGCUUGGACCAUGUGAGGACAGCAUCAGCCAGUCACAGCCUCAGGGGAGCUGAGGUGCUGUCUCCAGAUCCCUGGGGCAGUGUGGGCUGGCUGGGGGCUAGUUACAGUGGGGCAGCCAGCCCCCCACCCGCUUUGGAGGAGACAGGAGCAGGCAACUCGGGCUGUGCUGAUGAAAAGGGUCUGCCCUGAGGGCCGCUGUUCCGGAAAUGCUGGGUGGUGUCCCUACCCUUUGUGGGACUGGGAACGAGACAUGGACUCUCCUUGCUCUAGGCCAGGCCAUUGCUCGGCGUCUGAAACCAUUCGGUGUCCAGAGAUUUCUGUACACAGGGCGCCAGCCCAGGCCUGAGGAAGCAGCGGAAUUCCAGGCAGAGUUUGGUAAGUGAAGCCUUGAUUUCCACAGGAGCCUAUCUGUGCCCAGUUGAGAGGCUGUAUUUUCUCUCAAUGGUGGCAUUUUCAGGCAGAGGGCAGGAGCUCCAGGCAUGUCCAGGGGCUGCUGUCUGGUAGAUGUUUAAUCUACCUGCCCCUGGACACCGGCCCACUCAGGGGGCACAGGGACUUACCCAGGUCCUCUCCGAGCCAGCAGAGCAGUCCAGGGCUCCCGUCUUUCAGAGUCCUUUGUUACCAUUCCCCAUUGUGGGCGGAGCAGCGGGGAUGGUGGUGGGUGUGAGGAAGGGCUGGGCACUUUCACUGUCUUUUCCUUCAUAAACUGGCAAGCACUACCCUAGCCUUUGUGUGCGCCCCUUAGUCCAGGCGGAUCCAGCACCUGGCGGGUCCACAGCCUGGUGAGCAGAUGGCAGGCUGGAUCUCAAGCAUUCCCCACGCCCCUGGGCAUUUUGGGCCCUGAAGGUAGUUAAAGCCAGAGUGGUCCAGAUCCCACUGUGUGUGAUUUGACUUUGUGCACUCAUGAGAGUUGUCCAGGUAGAGACUCGGCCUUCAGGAAGCAUCUUGGGAGUUUCUGUUAGGGAGUCGGGAGCAAGGGGCUGGUCUCCCGCCAUCUGGUUGUCCCUAGCCUGGGACUCAGUGCCUGAUGGAGUCCUGCCCUCCCUCAGUGUCUACCCCUGAGCUGGCUGCCCAAUCUGAUUUCAUCGUCGUGGCCUGCUCCUUAACACCUGCAACCGAGGGACUCUGCAACAAGGACUUCUUCCAGAAGAUGAAGGAAACAGCUGUGUUCAUCAACAUCAGCAGGUAUCCUAGGGCCACCUUACCCAGCAAGCCUGGAGAGGAGCCAUCCCCACUGCUGCCAUCUGGAGAUUUUCUUCCCCGUGGGUUGUUGGUGAGACCCCAGGCUGAGCUUGCUGGUUUCCAUAAACCAAACAACCAACUCAGAAAUUCGUGGGAAUACACGAGACCUCCGUACAGGGAAGAAGAGCCAUCAGAGUGGGCCUGGCCUGUCUGCUUCUCAGCAGUGGCCCCCACCUGGCGGGGCCUGGCACACAGCAGCGUGGCUUCAGGGAGUGUUCCCAGGGAGCCUCUGCAGGCCCAUUAUCCUCCACCACAAAGGGCUGGACUUCAGGAUCUGAAGGGCCCUCUGGAGGCCGCCUCCCACACUGCUGAGCCUGGCUUUGUCUGGCUGUGGUUCAGUGAUACUUUGAACCUUAUGCUCCUGGGUGGACAGACCCUAAAACUCACGUGGUCGUAGCUCCUCACACUGUCCCUAGGGGUGCCUUCAGGCCACUGGGCAUGUAUGGAGGUCAGACCUUCCUUCUCUGCCACUCCAAGCCCUUCCUAGCUGGUGCCCCUUGAGCCUGUUUACAUCAGUUUAGGGGAAGGGGGAUUGGGUGAGGUCAUCCUGAGGACUCGUCCACCCCAAAGGUACCUGUAAUUACCAACAUUUAGCUACAAAAUAGGUGACCUGGGAAUGGAAGAGUGAAACAUGCAGGACCACAGGGCUCGCACUGCUGGCUGGCAGCAGUCACAGCUGCCGUGUACUGGGUGCCUGCGUGUACCCAGGACAGCCCAGGACCCUGUAUUACUCAUUAGUGCACAAGUAUUACUUAGUGCACAAUAUACAGUCUCUAGAAGAUGACUUCUUGCCUUCAGUCGCCGCUCCCUUUGAUGGCUGUAGUUAGGGGUGUGCUCGUUCCUCUGCCCUGGUUUAGACAGGUACCUGAUAGCACACUGUGGUGCUUCUCAGUGGGGGUCUGGGGGUCAACCAGAUCAGAAACACUUGGAUGGGGCCUAACACAGAUGCCCUUCUGGGCCCUGUUCAUGCAGUAGAGCAUGUAAGAAAGCUUUAAUCCUCCCAACAUGCCUGGGAGUUAGGUUGUAUUCUCCUUAUCUCACAGAGUAGAUAAUUUGAGACACAGAUAAUUCGAGGCACAGAGAAUUUGAGACACUUGCCCAAGGUCACACAGCUAGAAGGAGGCAGGGCUGGAGUUCUCUGAGUAUAUAAGACUUACAGACAUACUGUAAGUAUACCUAAGACUUACUGCUUUAAAAGUCAGUGCCAAGUGAGUGGAAAAAUUCAUUCUGUAGGUUGUUCUGCCUCAAAGGUGGCCUGGGCGGAGGGAUCUUCGGGGUACCCAUGUCACCACUGUCAUUCCCAGGGGCGACGUCGUAAACCAGGACGACCUGUACCAGGCCUUGGCCAGUGGUAAGAUUGCAGCUGCUGGACUGGAUGUGACAAGCCCAGAACCACUGCCUACAAACCACCCUCUCCUGACCCUGAAGAACUGUGUGAUCCUGCCCCACAUUGGCAGUGCCACCCACAGAACCCGCAACACCAUGUCCUUGUUGGCAGCUAACAACUUGCUGGCUGGCCUGAGAGGGGAGCCGAUGCCUAGUGAACUCAAGCUGUAGCCAAACAGUAGAGAUGGAGGGCCGGGAGGCAAACCGUGCCCUGGUAUUGUCAGACACACCCAGGCUUGAUUUGGAUCCACAGGCAGAGCCAAGGGAAGGUGUGAUUCUCUUGAGGAAAGAGUGAUUCUGAUAUAUGUACUUGUCACAUUGGUGUUGGACACAUUUGCGCCAAAAGUAUGGUAAUUCUAUUAUUAAAUAAUUCUCUGAG
rnacentral:sRNA from 1 species